UACAGAGGGGGCAAGCGUUGUUCGGAAUUACUGGGCGUAAAGGGCGCGUAGGCGGCCCGCUAAGUCGAACGUGAAAUCCCCGGGCUCAACCUGGGAACUGCAUCCGAAACUGGCUUGCUAGAGUAUGGGAGAGGGAGGCGGAAUUUCUGGUGUAGCAGUGAAAUGCGUAGAUAUCAGAAGGAACAUCAGUGGCGAAGGCGGCCUCCUGGACCAAUACUGACGAUCAGGUGCGAAAGCGUGGGGAGCAAACAGG
rnacentral:rRNA from 1 species